rnacentral:lncRNA from 1 species
AAGUGGCGCUCCGGGGAGAAGGUGGCUGCGGCUGCUGGGGCCGCUGCGCCGGCGGCGGUUCCCGAUGUGGAGGUCCGUCUUGGGUGGGGAGGCACCCAGGUCGCUGGUUCGAUGCAGAGGAAGAAACCACACCUAGCACGUAAAGCCCUGAAAAAAUAGAGCAAAUUUUAAAGGAACGUUGCUGGGUGCAGUGGCUCACACCUGUAAUCUCAGCACUUUGGGAGGCCAAGGCAGGAGGAUCACUUGAGGCCAGGAGUUGGAGACCAGCCUGGGCAACAUAGUGAGACCCCAUCUCUUUAAAAAAAAAAUGUGUGUGUGUGUGUGUGUGUGUGUAUUUUAUUUUUUUAAUUGGCCAGGUAUGAUGGUGUACACCUAUACUCCCAGCUACUUGGGAGACUGAGGUGAGAUGAUCACUUAAGGCCAGAAGAUCAAGGCUGCAGUGAGCUAUGAUUGUUCCACUGCUUUCUAGACAGGGUGACAGAGCAAGACUCUGACUCUAAAAAAAUAAAUAAGGUAAAAUAAAAAUAAGAAGCCCAGCACAGUGGUUUAUGCCAGUAAUCAUUCCCAACAUUUCAGGAGGCCAAGCAGGAGGAUCACUUGAGCUGAGGAGUUCAAGACUGGCCUGGGCAAGACAGUAAGACCAUCUCUACAAAAAAUAAACAAAAAAUUAGCCGGGCAUGGUGGUGCAUGCUUGUAGUUCCAGCUGCUUGGGAGGCUGAGGUGGGAGGAUUGCUUGAGCCUGGAAGGUCAUGGCUGUAGUGAGCCGAGAUCGCACCACUGCACUCCAGCCUGGGUAACACAGUGAGACCCUCUCUCAAAAUAAAUACAGUCAGGCAUAGUGGCUCAUGUCUGUAAUUCCAGCACUUUGGGAGACCAAGGCAGGCAGAUCAUUUGAGGCCAGGAGUUUGAGACCAGCCAGGCCAACAUGGUGUAACCCCAUCUCUACUGAAAAUACAAAAAAAUUAGCUGGUCGUGGUGGCACAUGCCUGUAGUCCCAGCUACUCAGGAGGCUGAGGCAGGAGAAUCACUUCAACCGGGGAGGUGGAGGUUGCAGUGAGCCGAGAUCAUGCCACUGCAUUCCAGCUUGGGCAACAGAGCAAGACUCCGUAUAAAAACAUAAAUAAAUUAAAAUGUUUUAAAAAGUUGUGGUCAAUCUUUAGGGUUAUCUUAAGUAUCUUUUUUUUUUUUUUCAAGACAGGGUCUGACUCUGCCGCCCAGACUAGGGUAUGGUAGUACAAUCAUGUAGCUAACUAUAAACUCAAUUUCCUAGGCUCACGUGAUCCUCCCGCCUCAGCCUCCUGAGUAAUUAGGACUACAGGUGUGCAUUACCACACCUGGCUAAUUUUAAAUGUGUGUGUGUAUGUAUAUAUAUACACAUAUAAGUGUGUGUGUGUGUGUAUAUAUAUACACGUGUGUGUGUGUAUAUAUAUAUGCAUGUAUGUAUGUGUGUGUGUGUGUGUAUAUAUAUAUAUGUAUGUAUAUGAAAUGGGGUCUCACUAUAUUGCCCAGGCUAGCCUUGAACUCUUGGCCUCAAGUGAUUCUCCAGCCUUGGCCUCCUAAGGUACUAGGAGGCAUGAGCCACCACAACUGGCCAAUAGAGAUCUUUUUGUUCUCCAAUUUUGCCAUGCUAAUUAAUAGAGAUACUAGGUGUGGUGGACUAAAUGGUGACCAAAAAGACAUGGCCUAAUCCCCAGAACCCAUUACUAUUCCCAUAUAUAGUAACAGACUGAAUAUUACCUUAUAGGGCAAAAUAUGUAGUUAAGAAUUUUAAGGGCCAGCAUGGUGGCUCAUGCCUGUAAUCCCAGCAUUUUGGGAGGUAGAGGUGGGUGAAUCACCUGAGGUCAGGAGUUCAAGCCCAGCCUGGCCAACAUGGCGAAACCCCAUCUCUACUAAAUAUACAAAAAUUAGCCAGGUGUGGUGGCCUGCACCUGUAAUCCCAGCUACUCAGGAGGCUGAGGUAGCUUGAACCCAGGAGGCAGAGGUUGCAGUGAGCCAAAAUUGUGCCACUGCACUCCAGCCUGGGCAACAGAGCGAGACUCCAUCUCAAAAAAAAAAAAUUGAGAGGAGUGUUAUCCUAGAUUUUCCAGGUGAGCUCUAAAUCCAGUAACAAGUGUCUGUACAAGAAUGAGGCAAAGAAAGAUAACACAGAUAGGAGGAAGCAAUGCCACCAUGACGACACAGACUGGAAUGACACCGUUAACAGCUGAGGAUGCCAAGAACCACCAGAAACUGGACGAGGCAAAAACAGAUUCUCCUCUAGAGCCUCUAGAGAGAGUAUAGCCCUGCUGACACCUUGAUUUUCUUCUGACCUCCAGCACUGUGAAAGAAUAAACUUCUGUUGUUUAAGCCACCCAGUUUACAGUAAUUUGUUGUAGCAGUCAUAUUUUAAGAAGAAAACUGGGGGAAUAAAUUUGGUGUAAGGAAAUGUUAUAGGAAAUCUAGGUCCACCUGCCUGGUUAUGGUGACAAAGGGUGAAUACUUUCCUAAGUUAGCAACAUCAGAAACAUCUUUAAAGUCUUUUUCUACAUGAAUUUCCUUAUUGGUUGCAGUGAUUUUAAAAUAUGUCCACAAAUUAUUUAAUUAUACCCCCUCCAAAAGUUGGAGCCUAAUUCUCCUCCCUUUGAGUAUGGAUUAUAUUUAUUGGCUUACUUCUAACAAUACAAUGUGGCAGAAGUGACCGUUUGUGACUUCCAAAAUUAGGACAUAAAAGACUUUGUGGCUUUCUCCUUGUUCUUUGACUUAGAUUAUUCGCUCUGGGAGAAGCCAGCUGUUGUGUCAUAAGGAUACUCAAGCUGCACUAUGCAAUGUCCACAUGGCAAAAACUCAGUCCUCUUGCCAACAGGAAACCCAAGAACUUGGGCUAUCUGAGCACAGUCAGCCUUAAAAUGACUGUAGUUCGGGGCCGGCCUUCAAGCGUCAGCAACGCAAGACGGCAGCCACCAUGGGCUCGGGAGUAAAAGUCCCUCACAAUUUCUGACUGUUGGAAGAACUCAGAGAAGGCCAGAAAGGAGUAGGAGAUGGCACAGUUAGCUGAGGUCUAGAAGAUGAUGAAGACAUGACAAAAGAUGGACAGGGAUGAUAAUUGGGCCUCCAAGAACAAUUUAUGAAAACCAAAUAUACAGCCUUAAAAUAGAAUGUGGACCUAAAUACCCACUAGCACCCCCCUUUGUAAGAUUUGUAACAAAAAUUAAUGUAAAUGGAGUUAAUAGUUCUAAUGGAGUAGUGGACCCAAGAGCCAUAUCAGUGCUAGCAAAAUGGCAGAAUUCAUAUAGCAUCAAAGUUGUCCUGCAAGAGCUUCAGUGCCUAUUGAUGUCUAAAGAAAAUAUGAAACUCCCUCAGCCACCGGCAGGACAGUGUUACAGCAAUUAAUCAAAAAGAAAAACCACAGGCCCUUCCGCUUCCCCCCGCCCGAUUCGAUUUAAGCAGUCUUCGUUUUCCACAGUAGUAAAUUUUCUAGAUACAUCAUGUAGACCUCAAAGUACUGGAAAGGAAGCUCCAAUUCAAAGGAAAUUUAUCUUAAGAUACUGUAAAUGAUACUAAUUAUCCAUUUGAAAUAUAUAAGUUUUGCUAUAACAAAUCAUCCUAUCAAGUGUAACCACUGUCCACGUAGUUGAACUUCUGGAAUCGAGAAAUUCUAAUUAAAUUGAUUCCCAUCAUAACUAGUGGGGCAUAUCUAACUCAACUGUGAAAAGAAACAUCACACAAUCACCUUGCUGAUUACAUGGCCUGGGGGUCUCUGCCUUCUCCCCUUACCCUCCUGCCUCCCACCCUCCCUGCAACAGCCCUCUAGCUUGGCUUGUUAGAGUGGAUGUGAAGGUUUCAGGUUGCAGCCUGUGGGACUACUGCUAGGUGUGUGGGGUGCUUCACCUGCACCCCUGGUUUCUUUAAGUCUUAUGCACCUUCCAAUCCGUCAUCCUGUCCCCACACUCCUCCACUCCUGCCUUUGGCAGAAGCAUAGGUUGUAACCCCUCCGCUCCCCUCUAAGAUUGGCCUUUGGUAAGGAAUUCAGGGCUUUCCCAGUAUCUUCUCUCCCCCACCUUUAUCGAGGGAUGCUGUUUUUUCUUCCCUCCUCAAGUUGCUUUCUGCACCAUCACCACUCAAUACCUUCCAUGACACUUCCUUGCUUUGGGCAGAAGCCAUCAGGUAAGGUUAGAAAGUCUCUAACCUCCCUUGUUUAGUUUUGGAACCAUACUUAUUCAUUCUCCAUCAGCCUGGGAAAUGAAUAUUGGGUUUUCAGCCCUGCCACCCUCUGCUGUCGUCAGCUGAUGCGUUGUUUUUAGCUCAGGUUUUGAUAAGGUGAAAAGGAAAGUCACCAGGGUUACUCAGACCUGCCAGCUCUCGGAGUCCUUGGUGGUUGAAAUUGGAGAAAGACCACAAGAAGACACUUGUAAGCACACGUGAUCCCUCUGAAUUGUUUUACUUCCUGUAAUUGCUUUUGCUUUUAAAAACUGAAGAAGUUUUAAACAGGGCUUUCAUUUGGUCAUCCUUGCAAUCCAUUGAGGUCUAGUUUGGAAUCUGACAACUGGAACAAAAAGAACCUUGAAUCCAGUGCGUGCCUUGGUUUUGGUGCUGCUGCUGCUUCUCAAGAUCCUCAGCAGGGAUUAAGAAAGAACCCAGUGUGCAUAGCAGAUCCCUGAAAUUGGCGGGCUUGACCUCCUGGGAAAUUGGUGUACAGUAGAGUUUUCCAGAGGCUACAUGACAUGCAGUAUCACAACGGAAGCAAAUAUAAGAACCCACCUGUCUCCUGUUAAAAUGCAAAAUGUAAAACAAUACCACUUUGCUAACUGUUUUUGUUUGGGGAAAUAUAGUUCAUAAAAAUAUUUAUGUUAACAUGUAAUUUAGGUUAAAAUAAAUUAAUAAAUAUUUGUAAAUUGUCUGUUUUAAUUUCUAAUAUGGUAAAUACAGAUAGAUAUAACCCAUAUAAACAAAACCUGUUUGGGGUCCUCAAUAAUAUUGAAGAGUGUUAUACAGGGGUCCUAAGGCCAAAGAAUUUGAUAAUGCUGCUCUAAGUCUUCCUUAUCCAUUAAAGUCCAAAUGAAAGCUGGGAACAGUAGCUAAUGCCUGUAACCCCAGUGCUUUGGGAGGCCGACAUAGGAGGAUUACUUGAGGCCAGGAGUUUGAGACCAGACAGGGCAACAUACGGAGACCCUGUUGCUACAAAAAUAAAUUUAAAACGUAGUUGGUCAUGGUGGCACAUGUCUGUAGUCCUAACUACUUGGGAGGCUGAGGCAGGAAGAUCACUUGAGCCUAGGAGCUUGAGGCUGCUAUGAUCCCGCCACUGCACUCCAGCCUGGGUGACAAAGCAAGACCCUGUCUCUGAAAAAAUAAAUAAAAUAGUUUUAAACUUAGAAAAAAAAGGUUCAUGUCAAAGCCUUCCUACUCGAUAAGACUUUUUGACCACUGCAACUAGAGAGGAUCUUGUCUGUCUCUGAAUACUACACACUUAUGGCACUUACACACUUAUGGCUCUUUUUUAUCAUUCAUCUAGUACAGACCUUGUGCCAAAAAGGAAUAUUGUUAUGUGGAUUCAGAGUGAUAAUUAAAGACAUGUGUUUGAUGGUGAAUCAUAAACAACCCUUUUACUUCGCAGUCUCUCUGAUUAGUCUUCCCAGC